ACGACCAUAGGGUGUGGAAAACAGGGCUUCCCGUCCGCUCAGCCGUACUUAAGCCACACGCCGGUGAGUUAGUAGUUGGGUGGGUGACCACCAGCGAAUCCUCACUGUUGUAUGUU
rnacentral:rRNA from 2 species